AUGCAGUCAAGAUAUUGUGUAAGUCGUCCUAAAGUGAUCGUCCUGCCGCCGUCCAGUGAAGAGAUUUCCAGCAAGAAGACAGCAACAGUGAUGUGUGUGGCCAGCAAUGGUUUCCCUUCAGACUGGAGUCUGAGCUGGAAAGUGAAUGGGAAGAUGUCAGGAUCUCAGGAGAACAGAGCUGGAGUCCUACAGAAAGACGGCGGUCUGUACAGCUGGAGCAGCAGUCUGACUCUCACUGAACAAGAAUGGAUCAACAGAGACUCAGUGAUCUGUGAGAUCAGUCGGGAAGGUCAGACAGUCACUGGAGAAGUGAAGAAAGAUCUGUGUUCUGAGUAG